UACAGAGGGUGCAAGCGUUAAUCGGAAUUACUGGGCGUAAAGCGCGCGUAGGCCGUCGAGUAAGUCGGAUGUGAAAUCCCCGGGCUUAACCUGGGAAUUGCAUUCGAUACUGCUUGGCUAGAGUGUGGAAGAGGGAAGCGGAAUUUCCGGUGUAGCGGUGAAAUGCGUAGAUAUCGGAAGGAACACCAGUGGCGAAGGCGGCUUCCUGGUCCAACACUGACGCUGAGGCGCGAAAGCGUGGGGAGCGAACAGGAUUAGAUACCCUGGUAGUCCACGCUGUAAACGAUGAGAACUAGAUGUUGGGGGGUAUAACCCCUCAGUGUCGCAGCUAACGCGUUAAGUUCUCCGCCUGGGGAGUACGGCCGCAAGGUUGAA
rnacentral:rRNA from 1 species